rnacentral:rRNA from 1 species
GACGAACGCUGGCGGCGUGCCUAACACAUGCAAGUCGAACGGAGUUCUUACGAAUUGAAGCUUCGGCAGAUUUUUGUUUGAACUUAGUGGCGGACGGGUGAGUAACGCGUGAGGAACCUGCCUCUCAGAGGGGGACAACAGUUGGAAACGACUGCUAAUACCGCAUAAUGCAGCGAGAUCGCAUGAUUUUGCUGCCAAAGAUUUUAUCGCUGAGAGAUGGCCUCGCGUCUGAUUAGAUAGUUGGUGAGGUAACGGCCCACCAAGUCUGCGAUCAGUAGCCGGACUGAGAGGUUGAACGGCCACAUUGGGACUGAGACACGGCCCAG